rnacentral:misc_RNA from 1 species
AAAGUCGUAACAAGGUUUCCGUAGGUGAACCUGCGGAAGGAUCAUUAUUGUAGGGACUCCGGUCCCCUCAAGAUGCAACCCGUGCCUUUUUUGUAGCCCGUAACGUUUCCUCGGCAGCCCCGCUGCCAGCGAGGACCCCCCCCCAAACCAAACCUGCAAUCUCAGUAAAAAAUUCAGAAACCCCCCAAAAUUUAAAACUUUCAACAAUGGAUCUCUUGGCUCUG